AACGAUGAUCCGGUUUCGGCCGGGGAUUAGUGGCGAACGGGUGAGUAACACGUGGGCAAUCUGCCCUGCACUCUGGGACAAGCCCUGGAAACGGGGUCUAAUACCGGAUAGUACCUUCGGGCGCAUGCCUGUUGGUGGAAAGCUCCGGCGGUGCAGGAUGGGCCCGCGGCCUAUCAGCUUGUUGGUGGGGUGAUGGCCUACCAAGGCGACGACGGGUAGCCGGCCUGAGAGGGCGACCGGCCACACUGGGACUGAGACACGGCCCAGACUCCUACGGGAGGCAGCAGUGGGGAAUAUUGCACAAUGGGCGCAAGCCUGAUGCAGCGACGCCGCGUGAGGGAUGACGGCCUUCGGGUUGUAAACCUCUUUCAGCAGGGAAGAAGCGAGAGUGACGGUACCUGCAGAAGAAGCGCCGGCUAACUACGUGCCAGCAGCCGCCGGUAAUUCCAAGG
rnacentral:rRNA from 1 species